UUAGAGGCAAACGGGUGGAACCGCAGUGUCGACUCUUGGAAUUCAACCUGCCGUAGCACGGGACGAUGCUGGGAUAAUUGCGGAGCUUCCAAAGCCCGUUUCUCGGCGUCGGUCUCCGGUCGGUCUGGUGCAUUUUCUUCGAGUCGAGAGCCACGACCGGCUCUUUGGCGGCCAGAAGCCUUGCUGGGAAGGUGACCUCCGGCCUCGGCUGGCGGAGUUUAUAGCCCAGCUUGCGUUGGCUCGUCGGAGGGCCGAGGAAAAAAAGCUUUGCCGCGACUCGUCGCUCUCGGGCCAUCCGCGCUCGUCACGACUGGGGUGGACUGCUCGCCAGUGCUCUCCCGACCGCGAGCGUGGAAGGGUUCGUUCCGGCGUGAGUCGCUUCGGGCCUGUGGCGAAUCGGUCGGUCACCCACCCGACCCGUCUUGAA
rnacentral:rRNA from 1 species